GCGCACGCAGGCGGUCUGUCAAGUCGGAUGUGAAAUCCCCGGGCUCAACCUGGGAACUGCAUUCGAAACUGGCAGGCUUGAGUCUUGUAGAGGGGGGUAGAAUUCCAGGUGUAGCGGUGAAAUGCGUAGAGAUCUGGAGGAAUACCGGUGGCGAAGGCGGCCCCCUGGACAAAGACUGACGCUCAGGUGCGAAAGCGUGGGGAGCAAACAGGAUUAGAUACCCUGGUAGUCCACGCCGUAAACGAUGUCUACUUGGAGGUUGUGCCCUUGAGGCGUGGCUUCCGGAGCUAACGCGUUAAGUAGACCGCCUGGGGAGUACGGCCGCAAGGUUAAAACUCAAAUGAAUUGACGGGGGCCCGCACAAGCGGUGGAGCAUGUGGUUUAAUUCGAUGCAACGCGAAGAACC
rnacentral:rRNA from 2 species